GAUGAACGCUGGCGGCGUGCCUAAUACAUGCAAGUCGAGCGAGCGGACGAGAAGCUUGCUUCUCUGAUGUUAUCGGCGGACGGGAGAGUAACACGUGGAUAACCUAACUAUAAGACUGGGGUGACUUCGGGAAACCGGAGCUAAUACCGGAUAAUAUUUUGAACCGCAUGGUUCAAGAGUGAAAGACGGUCUUGCUGUCACUUAUAGAUGGAUCAGCGUUGCAUUAGCUAGUUGGUAAGGUAACGGCUUACCAAGGCUACGAUGGAUAGCCGACCUCAGAGGGUGAUCCGCCACACGGGAACUGAGACUCGGUCCCGACUCCUGCGGGAGGCAGCAGUACGGAAUCUUCCGCGAGGGGGCAAAGCCUGACGUUGCAACGUCGGGGGAGGGAUGAAGGUCUUCGGAUCGGAAAACUAUGUUAUUAGUGAAGAACUAAUGUGUAUGUACCCGUGCUGAUCUUGACGGUACCUAAUCAGAAAGCUCCGGCUAACUCCGUG
rnacentral:rRNA from 1 species